rnacentral:rRNA from 1 species
CUACGGAGGGUGCGAACGUUAAUCGGAAUUACUGGGCGUAAAGCGCGCGUAGGCGGUUUGAUAAGUGGGAUGUGAAAGCCCCGGGCUCAACCUGGGAACUGCAUUCCAAACUGUCAGGCUAGAGUAUGGUAGAGGGAGGUAGAAUUUCCUGUGUAGCGGUGAAAUGCGUAGAUAUAGGAAGGAAUACCGGUGGCGAAGGCGGCCUCCUGGACCAAUACUGACGCUGAGGUGCGAAAGCGUGGGGAGCAAACAGGAUUAGAUACCCUAGUAGUCC